AUGUGGCAGCCGGGGGCAGGGGGUGCUCCCAGGGCAGCCCCUUGCCUGGUGCCCCCCCUCUCCCCUUCCCCAAAAGCACAAGGCAGAGUCUGGGGACCAGGCCAGGAUGCCAUGGGGCAUCUCCCCAGGGUACCCAGUGCUGGCCAUGGGGACAUCACUGCUGCCCUGGGCAGCCCAACGCCUGCCCUGUCCCCUCAGUGCUGGGGCGGGGGGGGCACAACCUGCCCCACGUCCCUUCACUGCUGUCGGGCCGGGGGGCUGUGGGCUGGUGAGCGGUGCCUGGGGGUAGUCCCCAUGCCGCUGGGUCCCCAAGGCCCUGUGCCUUCCUGCGCCCUGGCAAGGGCUCUGUGCCCUGUGUCAGGGGUCUGGGGCCACCUAAGGCUGCCACUUGUCCUCUUGGCCCUGUUGUGUAAUGUCACAGGCAAGGCUCCUGGCAUGGAGGGGAUCACCCCGGUGCUGCCGUGGUGCCUUAGUCCCCGCCGAGUGGGAAGGGGGCACACGGGGCUUGUGCUGGCGCCUUUGCUGCAGCGUCCCGUGACUGUCCCCAAAGCCGCCUUGGUGGGGAGGGGAUGGGGGUGCUGGCACUGCCCUGAGCACGGCCAGCUGGGGCUGCUGCCAUCGGCUCCUCUCGCACGCCUGUCCCCAAGCACGACUCGGGGUGCUCUGCGGGGCCAGCACCUCCCUCCCCACACCCAGCCAGGCUCUGUGCCCGCCGCUGCCUUUGGCCAUGGCCCAGCUCGGCUCCUGCCCUCCGCCGCGGCCCUGGAGAGCCUUUUGGGGCGAGGUGACCCCAGAGCCGGCUCUGCCGAGCCUGUCCUUUCCCCUGCCCCGCUAGCCUGGGGACUGGGCAGCCUCGGCCCCCCCCGUGCGGUGCCUGGCGUGGCCUUCAGGGACACCUCGCAACCCUCCGAAACAGGCAUCUCCUCCGAGGGCCGGCCUCGCUGCCGGUGCCCCUGGGAGGCGGCCGCCACCUCUGCCCUUGGUGCUCUCUCGGCCGGUGCCUCUCGCCUCGCCGGCCGGCGCAUCCCAGUGCACAUGGUGCUCACUUCUCCGUCUGUCCCCCAGCCUCCCUGCCCUCUCCCCGCUGCUGCCCUGUGGGGCCGGCCAGCCCGGCCCCAUUGCACAGGGACGUCCCUCCCCACACUGGCUUGGACGCUAGGGCUUUCUGUUCGCCUUCUCUUGUGUUGCCGCCGUCGGCCAAGGACUCGCUGUAAAUAG
rnacentral:lncRNA from 1 species